CAAACCCAACUACACCCCCAACCCCUAUAACUACUAAAUCCUUGAGGACCUGUAUCGUUGGUUUUAGGUUGGGGCGACCACGGAGUACAACAAAACCUCCACAAUGAACGGAAUUAAUUCCUAAUCUAAGAACUACACUUCUAAGAAUUAAAACACUAACACAAAAUGAUCCAUUUUUUGAUUAAUGAACCAAGUUACCCUGGGGAUAACAGCGCAAUCCAUUUCAAGAGCCCCUAUCGACAAAUGGGUUU
rnacentral:rRNA from 1 species